UACGUAGGGGGCAAGCGUUGUCCGGAAUGAUUGGGCGUAAAGCGUCCGCAGGUGGCUAUGUAAGUCUGCUGUUAAAGAGUGAGGCUCAACCUCAUAAGAGCAGUGGAAACUACAUAGCUAGAGUGCGUUCGGGGCAGAGGGAAUUCCUGGUGUAGCGGUGAAAUGCGUAGAUAUCAGGAAGAACACCGGUGGCGAAAGCGCUCUGCUAGGCCGCAACUGACACUGAGGGACGAAAGCUAGGGGAGCGAAUGGG
rnacentral:rRNA from 1 species